rnacentral:rRNA from 1 species
AUGGACUUUCAACACCUCGAGGACAAAAUUGCGGCAAAACUUGUGCCUUGGGAGCGCUUACACAUCACCAAUGUGGGCCGUGACGCACUCGUGAAGUCGGUUCUCACCUCGCAAACUAUCCAUCACCUCACGCCACUUGUCAUUCCCCCACCCAUCCUUAAGAGCAUCAACAAGAUUGAGCAGGCCUUCCUUUGGGCCGGAACUGAUAAGGUGACGGGCGGAAAGUGCAAGGUAAAUUGGGAAACUAUAUGUGAACCAACCCACCUCGAAGGGCUUAGUGUGUUGCACCUUGGGAAAUUCGUUAGAGCUCUUCGUUUACAAUGUCCUUGGUUUGAGUGGCAGGACCCGAGGAAGAUUUGGGUUGGUUCGGGCAACCCUUGCGAUGAAGCGGACAUGGAUCUUUUUUAUGCUCUUACCACCAUUACCAUCGGCAAUGGUGAGAGGACCCCUUUUUGGAAAGCACCGUGGCUGAAUGGUAAAAAUCCCGAGGAUAUCACCCCCCCCCCCUUCCCCCUUUAUCUUGAAGGUCUCGAAGCACAAAUCUUGGAAGGUUAG